CUUUUUGACAUUACGUUUUCUUUCCUUUCUUCCUUUACUUCUUACAAGGAGCGUGAGAAAUUCUACAUUGUUUAAUUAAAUCCAGAUAGAUCCCUGAAAAUACUAAAUUAUUUCAAAUCUCACUACAUAAACGAGUGUUUUGGAAAUUUGGGCGUGGGAUCGCUGGAUUCAGCAACAACUAUAAAAGGUGCCGAAAAAGUGAUAAUAUCUUGUCG